rfam:Triticum aestivum genome assembly, contig: Triticum_aestivum_CS42_TGACv1_scaffold_158240_2DL
GUUAUACUCCCUCCGUCCGAAAAUAUUUGUCAUCAAAAUGGAUAAAAGGGGUGUAUUUAGAUGUAUUUUAGUUCUAGAUACAUCUCUUUUUAUCCAUUUUGAUGAUAAGUAUUUUCGGACGAAGGGAGUACUAG